rnacentral:rRNA from 1 species
GCCUGGCCUUAAACCUUAACUACCCCUUCUAUCGCCAAGGAACUACGAGCCAUGCUUAAAACCUAAAGGACUUGACGGUACCCCAUAUCCCCCUAGAGGAGCCUGUUCUAUAAUCGAUAACCCCCGCUUAACCUCACCACUCCUAGCCUAUCAGCCUGUAUACCUCCGUCCUAGCUCACCCUGUGAAUGAACCAGUGAGCCCAAACGUCAUAAACUUAUACAUCAGGUCAAGGUGCAGCAAAUGAAGUGGCAAGAAAUGGGCUACACUUUCUAGUAUAGAAAAUACAGAAGGUCAGUAUGAAACCUGAUCUAAAGGUGGAUUUAGUAGUAAAAAGAAAAUAGAGUGUUCUUUUUAACCCGGCACUGGGGUGUGUACACACCGCCCGUCACCCCCUUCAAAAUUAAUUGACAGUAUUUAACCAAAGCUCAAAACAAGAAGGGGCAAGUCGUAACAUGGUAAGUAUACCGGAAGGUGUGCUUGGAAA